UAAGGGUUUAGUCCCAGCCCUUUUAUCGAUUAUAGCCAGUCUUACACAUGCCAGCCUCACCACACCAGUGAUAAAACCCUUAUAAAAAAUUAAGGUGAAAGUAUCAGGCACACAUCAUGUAGCCUACAACACUUAGCCUUUGCCACACCCCCACGGGCCUACAGCAGUGAUAAACAUUGAACAACCUAAGCAUAGCUUGAUUCAAAUAUGGUUUAUAAGAGUUGGUCUAUCUUGUGCCAGCCACCGCGGUUAUACAAGAAACUCAAGUCGAUAAACCUCGGCAUAAAGAGUGAUUACAAGAGUAUUUAAAUUUAACUAAAACUAUAAACCUGUUAUGCUGUUAUACGCCUUAAUAUACUAUAUACCCAAUAAAAAAUUAGUUUUAGGUUUUAUAAUUCUACUACCUCACGACCGCUAAAACUCAAACUGGGAUUAGAUACCCCACUAUGUUUAGCCACAAACCUUGUAUCAUCUACCCCACCGCCAGAGUACUACGAGCCCCAGCUUAAAACUCAAAGGACUUGGCGGUGCCCCAGACCCCACCAGAGGAGCCUGUUCUAUAAUCGAUAAUCCACGCAACACCUCACCAUCUUUAGCCAUAUCAGCUUAUAUACCACCGUCACCAGUUAACCUUGCAAAUGAUUUGUAGUUAGCAAGAAUGAUUUAAUCAAACACGUCAGGUCAAGGUGUAGCACAUAAGAUGGAAAGAUAUGGGCUACAUUUUCUUAAUUAAGAAUAUCACGAAUAAUAUUAUGAAAACAAUAAUUCAAGGUGGAUUUGGCAGUAAGAAAGUAUAAUAAUGCCUUUCUUAAGCCGGCCCUGAGGCGCGCACACACCGCCCGUCACCCUCAUCAAAACAAAUUAACUGUAUUAGAAGAGGAAAGUCGUAACAUGGUAAGUGUACUGGAAAGUGCUCUUGGUUUA
rnacentral:ncRNA from 1 species